rnacentral:rRNA from 1 species
UACGUAGGGUGCAAGCGUUAAUCGGAAUUACUGGGCGUAAAGGGCGCGUAGGCGGCCUUCUAAGUCGAACGUGAAAUCCCCGGGCUCAACCCGGGAACUGCGUCCGAUACUGGAAGGCUUGAAUCCGGGAGAGGGAUGCGGAAUUCCAGGUGUAGCGGUGAAAUGCGUAGAUAUCUGGAGGAAUACCGGUGGCGAAGGCGGCAUCCUGGACCGGCAUUGACGCUGAGGAGCGAAAGCCAGGGGAGCAAACGGG